AUUAGGAAUCUUGCGCAAUGGGCGAAAGCCUGACGCAGCGACGCCGCGUGGAGGAAGAAGUCUCUCGGGAUGUAAACUCCUUUUGUUCGGGACGAAGAAUGUGACGGUACCGAACGAAUAAGCCCCGGCUAACUACGUGCCAGCAGCCGCGGUAAUACGUAGGGGGCGAGCGUUGUCCGAAGUUACUGGGCGUAAAGCGCGCGUAGGCGGGCUGUUAAGUCGGAAGUGAAAGGCUGGGGCUCAACUCCAGCAGUGCUUCCGAUACUGGCAGUCUUGAGGGCGGUAGGGAGAAGUGGAAUGGCUGGUGUAGCGGUGAAAUGCGUAGAUAUCAGUCGGAACACCGGUGGCGAAGGCGGCUUCUUGGGCCGUUCCUGACGCUGAGGCGCGAAAGCCAGGGGAGCGAACGGGAUUAGAUACCCCAGUAGUCC
rnacentral:rRNA from 1 species